GCUAGGAAAAACUCCCUAGAAAGGCCAAAACCUAGGAAGAAACCUAGAGAGGUACCAGGCUAUGUGGGGUGGCCAGUCCUCUUCUGGCUGUGCCGGGUGGAGAUUAUAACAGAACAUGGCCAAGAUGUUCAAAUGUUCAUAAAUGACCAGCAUGGUCGAAUAAUAAUAAGGCAGAACAGUUGAAACUGGAGCAGCAGCACAGUCAGGUGGACUGGGGACAGCAAGGAGUCAUGUCAGGUAGUCCUGGGGCAUGGUCCUAGGGCUCAGGUCCUCCGAGAGAGAGAAAGAAAGAGAGAAGGAGAGAAUUAGAGAACGCACACUUAGAUUCACA
ensembl:lncRNA